GGGGCCGUACUGGUUUUGACGGGGAAACCGUCAACGCACGGAUGCAGUGGUCUGGUAAACCUUAAUACCAAAAAACAAUAACUGACAAAACUGUCAAACCCUGGAUGCUCAACAACCGUUGCGCGUCCGUUGCUCUUGCUUAAUUAAGCACCCGACAUAGGGUUCCGCGUAUCGCGGACGAGCACGUCUACCCAUGCGUUCACGCCUUGGCAUGGGAUAGGCGCAAGAUAAGGCGAUAAGCUGGCUUCUUGGCAGGGGAAGUUGGACGAAAAUUUACUGCCACCCCUUAUUCGCCCUUGGCAGGUUCGGCGGAUUUGGGUUAACGAAUCUGCCUAAACUGUAGAUGCUGUGUGGGGACUUUCUUCGGACCGGGGUUCGAUUCCCCGCGACUCCACCA
rnacentral:tmRNA from 1 species